CCUGUAGCAGUCUGCGACUGGGUCUGGGGUGAUCUGUGGCGAGGGUCCAAGAUCAGUCUGCUUGGGGAACUGGGUCAGUCCAUAACUGAGAAAUUAGGAAUUGACCAGAUUUUUGACUUUGACCAACAGGGGAUCUGCCCUGCAGCCCUAUAGUCAUGAGUGAAGGAGGAAGAAGCAAUGUCCCUGCGGUAAAUGUGGGAGGUAGAGCAGAUCGGGGAGGGAUUCCUGAGUCAUCAGAGAUAGCUGGUUCUUGAGAAAUUGUCCUAUCUGCUAGGAAGGGUUUGGAUAAGAGAAUAAGCUCCUUUCCUGCAGAGAUAAUUUCUCCUUCCUCCGUUGCUCUAUCCCCCCUCCCAUCUGCCAUAUGGUCCUGACAAGGACAUGUGUGGGCAGUGCCACACCUAGGGGUCUUGUCCUCAGGGUUCAGUGGCCAACUUUGUAUCAGUUUGGGAGGGGGACAGCAUGAAUAGAGAAAGGGAAUAGUUGUUCUAGACUAGGAAAAAAAAAGGGAGGAAAGAAAUCGACAUGUAUUGAGCUCCUCCUGUGUGCAAGGCACAAUACCAUGUAUUUUUAUAUUAGCCAACCAUUUGAUCUUCCCAGUGAUGUAAAAAAAAUUUUUUUACCUUGUUUUACAGACAAGGAAUAAAGGCCUAUAGUGGCUGAAGCACAUAUCCACGGUCAUUUGAGUUUUGGUAAUACGAGAUCAGGCUUGAACAGACUGUAUUGAAGGGACCCAUGGUGUGGCUGCGGAAAGUGGCCAGGUGCAGUGGUAGAGGCCCUGGGAUUGCCAUAUGAGGGGUUGCAGAGAGAGAAGAGAUCAUGGCAGGGCCCACUCGUACUCCUCAGGAAUCAGGAUCCCCAGGUUUUAGCUGGGGAUACAGAUUAUACUUCCCAACCUCCUAUGAAGCUGAGUGUGGCCAUGUGUUAAGUCAUGGCUAGUGAGGAGGGAGGGGAAGUGGUCCCUGAAGACCUUUACCGCUUUUCACUUCUCUCUCCUUCCUGCUGGCUGGAACAAGGCUGUGAAGCUCAACCAGCUCUUUUGUGUCAUGAGGGAGUAGGAAUCUGAGCCCCGGAUGACUGCAGCCACCAAACUCAUCUAGACCUCUAGAGUCCAUACCUGCAAGAGACAUGAAACUCUGUCUUAUCUAAGCCACCGUUCGUUUGUUUCUUCUUCUGUUAACUGAAAACAGUCUUAACAAGUAGAAAGGUCAAGGGCAUAUUCUUCAUCCAGGGCUGCAGUUCUCAAACCCGGAUGCACUUAGAAUGCUUAACUCUCUCCAAUAUCAACUGAAUGAGAUUUUCUGGAGGGGGCAGGGCUAGGCAUUGGUAUUUUAGGCUCCCCAGAUGCUUCUGGUGUGUAGCCACUGAUCAUGAAAGGAGUAGCCACUCCUCUCAUUGGAGGAGAACCAGGAGAGUAGCUGUGAAGCCAAAGGAGAGAAUUUGAGAAAGAAAAUAGGUAGGUAUCAAUAACAGAUGCCUCAAUUGGAAGCUGAGAAGAAGCCAUUGAAUUAGGUCACCAGGGGUCAUUAGUGACUUGACUGAGAGGGGUGAAGACAGGGUACUGUUUGAAAUAGGCUAAGGGGGGUUGAAUGCCCAGGAAAUAUAAGAAAUCUGCUAGUGAAAGGAAGAAAAGAGGCACUUAGCUUGAUGGGAUGAAAGUGAAAGUGAAGUCGCUCAGCCUUGUCUGACUCUUUGCAACCCCGUGGACUGUAGCCUACCACGCUCCUCUGUCCAUGGGAUUUUUCAGGCAAGAGUACUGGAGUGGGUUGCCAUUUCCUUCUCCAGAGGAUUUUCCCAACCCAGGGAUCGAACCCGGGUCUCCCUCAUUGUAGGCAGACGCUUUACCAUUUGAGCCACUAGGGAAGAUACUUGGUGGGAUAGUGUCUCAAUUUUAUGAUAAUGACUUAAUAGCCUUGAGCUGUGAAAGAGCAGCCCUGUGCUAAGCCCUUUCCAGGCAUCACCACCUCAUCUCACAGAACUCCUUUCUCUGAGAUGGGGACUACAAUUUCUGCUGUACAGAUGUGGAAACUGACAUGCAAAUACGAAAACACUGGCUCAAGAUCAAGCAACUGAUUUCUAGGCAGAAGGACGGCAUGGGGGUCAUUGUGACUUUUCAGCAAAGAAUUGCCAGGAUGGAUGCUCAUG
ensembl:lncRNA